rnacentral:lncRNA from 1 species
UAUACAUGAGUUUCCUUGCUAACAGUUGUUAUCUUUCAAGGUUGCAAGUUUAGCCCUAUAUGAAAUACAACAUUCAAGCAAAUAAUUUGUGCUUUAUCUUUUGAAAUGCAUGUGCAGCAUGUUUUUUUUCUCUUUUAUCCAAGCUACUAUGCAAAAUUGUAUUGUUUUACGGCCAUUUGGUUCAUAGGAGUGAGCUUUGUAGGACUGGGAUAAUACAUGCAUGUGCAGUAUUAUAGAUACACAGUUAGCUGUCGAACAAUUCUUAUUUGUAGUUCUCUGAAAUAUUACUUCCUGACUUUAAAUUUACCUUCUUUCUUAUCCAAGUACAAGCAAAGGGAUUUAUAGCUGGUGAAGAGCAGCAAGGCAAGGCCAUUGCCCCGGCUGUUGAGCUUGAAAAGUUCGUAUGGAAUAUGCAAAAAAAUAUUUUUUUCCGUUAUGUUCUGUUGGAAUUUGUCACAUUUCUUUUGUGAAAGAAUGUGCCAUUGUCUAAUAUAUUUGUCAAACAAAAAAAUAGUUGCAUAUACUAGACUGGAUGGUUUGAGAAACUACGGGCACUAUCAAGAGUGUGUUAUAGGAAAUUUGUUUAAUUACAUAUAUCAUAUAUGUUCUGCUCUUAAGAGAUUAGUUUAGUUACAUGUAUAUUCUGCUUUGUGGUGUCACCCCUACAUCUAUUCAUGCAUAAUGAAUUUGGUGGUGUCAUUCUUUAUAUUGCAACAGGUUAAACAAUCUUGUGAUUGUAAUAUUUUUUUGGUGUUGCCAUAAAAUUAGAAACAUUUAUUGAAAUUGUUCGGUAAUGCAGUUUUAUGAUAUCGAGUGCCUUAGCCUUUGGUUGGAUAUAGAGUUUGAAAACAAUAUCUAGGUUGGAGCACACUAUGCUACAUCAAAAAGGACCUACAUAGCUAAUCAUGUAUGCUUGCUGAGAGGUGAACUUAGCAAAAUUGAGGAUGUCAGCUUUUACAUUUUGUCAUGCUUGGCUUAGAUAAGAUGUAUCCAUCCUUUUUUGUGUUUGUACCAAAGCUUCCUUGCUUUUAGAGGAUUUUGUGCAAGCUUUGCAUUUUCUUUGCCUGAGGCUACAAAUGCAUAUUUUCAUUUGUUCUGGUAGUUUUAUUACCUUCGGAACAGUCACAUGCAUGAGGCAGUGAGUUUGGACAAGGUGGAGCAGCGUCGACUGUCACACACACUAAUGGAGAUUGGGAUGUCUACCUUCCUAUUGACGAUCUUAUAAUUCAUCUGCUAACUGACAGGUAAGAUAUGUAUUUUGUUCAAAUGACCUUGACUAUUUUGCAACAUGUACUACAUUUUCAGGGAUAAUCCUUUUGCUUGUUUAUUUUUUCGCUAUGCUCUCUGAAGAUCAGAUUUUGGCCAUAUAAUUUCUGGUGUCUGGAAGUCUAAAACUGAAGAUAGGGCAGAUUGUUUUGUUUAUGAUUACUUGGAGAUCUCGUGGCUUGCUGUCCAUGGAUCAGUCAGACCUACGGCAACAUCAACUCAUUGAUUCUAGAGGCCAUGGUUCUCGAGGUAAGAAAUAUAAGCAUACUAGAGAGAAUUGCGCCUUUUAUCAUGCAAACUUGGAGAAAAAUCAAAUAGUUGCAUCUGGAUAUAUGUCCUUUUGGUAAAUCAAGAAAUUUGUUUGCUUCAAGCUUAGCCCUGAGCUCAUUUGCAAGAGCCAUUCAUUUACUCCCAGCUUUAGCACAAUCAGUAGCAUCCAUAAUGUUAGUAUCACCACUAUCAUCAUCUUUUGUUCCAGGUGAACUCUGAAUCUCUGAUGCAAUUGCAGUGGAGGCUAGAGCCUGCCAAGUGAUGCAGAAGAUGGAACCAUAUAGUGCAACUGACUUUUCAGAUUAUUUAUUCCUCUUGUAAAACUUCUUUCUCAUCCAUGUAAUCCCUGCACAUCUCAAAUCCUCGUCCGCCUUAACCUUGAUUUCGGCACAUACGACUUCAGGAUAGUUGUCAUAUUUCUUUUAGAGGAUCUGCACCUCAAGGAAAUUAGAGAAUGCUGAUUUAAAAACAAAGUAUAUGUAAGCUAUUAGGAAGCCUGAGAGAUUCAUAAAAAUGGUAAGCAUUGUAAUGGAUGUUUUGCAAGAUAAACAUUAUUUGACUGUCUCCCCUUAAUUAGUGGGACUGGUGAGUAAUGUAGAAUCUUUAUUUUAGCAGUCUUUAAGGUGCAAAACAUGUGUUGUAUGAUACCAGUUUCUUGCUUUAUUUCGUUAACCGAUCACAACUACCAUUUCAGUGAACACAUUAUUAGCUGGAAAUUGUACAUUAGAAACUCUUGACAACACAUUGCAAGUUCCAUGUUGGGAUCCUUCGCUAUAUAUUCUAGACAGAAGAUUGAAUGGAAAAUCAAGAUGAACAUUUGUGUGUGAGAGAAUUUAUAUCUCUUUACUUAGACUAAAAUUUAAUGUAGUAAUUCUCAGCCUGAGAGCUAUGAGAUGACGCUUGAUGAACCCUAGAGAGAGUUUGACAGUACAAAAUGAAGAGAAAUAUUGGAAUCAUGUCAGUCCUACUUCGUAGCUAUACAGGAGCCAGUUUUCCGUUUGAUCCGAGAUAUAUUUG